rnacentral:rRNA from 2 species
GCCCUAGUAACGGCGAGUGAAGCGGCAACAGCUCAAAUUUGAAAUCUGGCCCUUGGGUCCGAAUUGUAAUUUGUAGAGGAUGAUUUUGGUGCGGUAUCUUCCGAGUUCCUUGGAACAGGACGCCUUAGAGGGUGAGAGCCCCGUACGGUUGAAUGCCUAGCCUCUGUAAAUCUCCUUCGACGAGUCGAGUAGUUUGGGAAUGCUGCUCUAAAUGGGAGGUAAAUUUCUUCUAAAGCUAAAUACUGGCCAGAGACCGAUAGCGCACAAGUAGAGUGAUCGAAAGAUGAAAAGCACUUUGAAAAGAGGGUUAAAUAGCACGUGAAAUUGUUGAAAGGGAAGGAUUUAUGACCAGACUUUUUCUGGGCGGAUCAUCCGGUGUUCUCACCGGUGCACUUUGCCCAGUUUAGGCCAGCAUCGAUUUUCGGAGAGGGAUAAAAGCUUUGGGAAUGUGGCUCCUCCGGGAGUGUUAUAGCCCAUUGUAUAAUACCUUUCUGGGGAUCGAGGUACGCGCUUCUGCAAGGAUGCUGGCGUAAUGGUUAUCAAUCACCCGUCUUGAAACACGGACCAAGGAGUCGAACAUUUGUGCAAGUGUUUGGGUGUUAAACCCUCACGCGUAAUGAAAGUGAACGGAGGUGAGAGCCCUUACGGGUGCAUCAUCGACCGAUCCUGAAGUUUUCGGAUGGAUUUGAGUAAGAGCAUAACUGUUCGGACCCGAAAGAUGGUGAACUAUGCGUGGAUAGGGUGAAGCCAGAGGAAACUCUGGUGGAGGCUCGCAGCGGUUCUGACGUGCAAAUCGAUCGUCAAAUCUGCGCAUGGGGGCGAAAGACUAAUCGA